GACCUCAAAUCAGGUAGGACUACCCGCUGAACUUAAGCAUAUCAAUAAGCGGAGGAAAAGAAACUAACAAGGAUUCCCCUAGUAACUGCGAGUGAAGCGGGAAAAGCUCAAAUUUAAAAUCUGGCGGUCUUUUGGCUGUCCGAGUUGUAAUCUAGAGAAGUGUUAUCCGCGCUGGACCGUGUACAAGUCUCCUGGAAUGGAGCAUCAUAGAGGGUGAGAAUCCCGUCUUUGACAUGGACUGCCAGGGCUUUGUGAUGCGCUCUCAAAGAGUCGAGUUGUUUGGGAAUGCAGCUCAAAAUGGGUGGUAAAUUCCAUCUAAAGCUAAAUAUUGGCGAGAGACCGAUAGCGAACAAGUACCGUGAGGGAAAGAUGAAAAGAACUUUGGAAAGAGAGUUAAACAGUACGUGAAAUUGCUGAAAGGGAAACGCUUGAAGUCAGUCGCGUUGUCCAGAGAUCAACCUUGCUUUUGCUUGGUGCACUUUCUGGUUCARCGGGUCAGCAUCAAUUUUGACUAUUGGAAAAAGGUUGAGGGAAUGUGGCAUCCUUGGAUGUGUUAUAGCCCUUGGUUGUAUACAAUGGUUGGGAUUGAGGAACUCAGCACGCCGCAAGGCCGGGUUUAACC
rnacentral:rRNA from 1 species